rnacentral:rRNA from 1 species
CUACGGGUUGCUGCAGUGAGGAAUAUUGCACAAUGGGGGGAACCCUGAUGCAGCAACGCCGCGUGGAGGAUGACGCAUUUCGGUGUGUAAACUCCUUUUAUAUGUCAAGAAAAUGACGGUAGCAUAUGAAUAAGCACCGGCUAACUCCGUGCCAGCAGCCGCGGUAAUACGGAGGGUGCAAGCGUUACUCGGAAUCACUGGGCGUAAAGGACGCGUAGGCGGGUUGGAAAGUCAGGUGUGAAAUCCUACAGCUUAACUGUAGAACUGCACUUGAAACUUCUAAGCUAGAGUAUGGGAGGGGGAGAUGGAACUAGUGGUGUAGGGGUAAAAUCCGUAGAUAUCACUAGGAAUACCUAAAGCGAAGGCGAUCUCCUGGAACAUUACUGACGCUAAGGCGUGAAAGCGUGGGGAGCAAACAGGAUUAGAUACCCGAGUAGUC